rnacentral:rRNA from 1 species
UACGGGGGGGGCAAGCGUUGUUCGGAAUUACUGGGCGUAAAGGGUGCGUAGGCGGUUCGCUAAGUUGGAUGUGAAAACUCUGGGCUUAACCCAGAGCCUGCAUCCAAUACUGACGAGCUAGAGUUCUGGAGGGGGUAGCGGAAUUCCUGGUGUAGCGGUGAAAUGCGUAGAUAUCAGGAGGAACACCUGCGGUGUAGACAGCUUUCUGGACCACUUCUGACGCUGAGACACGAAAGCGUGGGUAGCAAACAGG